rnacentral:ncRNA from 2 species
UGCGGCCGGGAACGCCGUGGCAGUCGAUCAUCGCAUGCUGCCACCGCCGAUUCCUCCCGCU